rnacentral:rRNA from 1 species
AUGAACGCUGGCGGCGUGCCUAAUACAUGCAAGUCGCGCGAACAGACGAGGAGCUUGCUCCUCUGACGUUAGCGGCGGACGGGUGAGUAACACGUGGAUAACCUACCUAUAAGACUGGGAUAACUUCGGGAAACCGGAGCUAAUACCGGAUAAUAUAUUGAACCGCAUGGUUCAAUAGUGAAAAACGGUUUUGCUGUCACUUAUAGAUGGAUCCGCGCCGCAUUAGCUAGUUGGUAAGGUAACGGCUUACCAAGGCAACGAUGCGUAGCCGACCUGAGAGGGUGAUCGGCCACACUGGAACUGAGACACGGUCCAGACUCCUACGGGAGGCAGCAGUAGGGAAUCUUCCGCAAUGGGCGAAAGCCUGACGGAGCAACGCCGCGUGAGUGAUGAAGGUCUUCGGAUCGUAAAACUCUGUUAUUAGGGAAGAACAAAUGUGUAAGUAAUUAUGCACGUCUUGACGGUACCUAAUCAGAAAGCCACGGCUAACUACGUG